rnacentral:tRNA from 2 species
GGUCGGGAUAGCUCAGCUGGUAGAGCAGA